UAUGGUUUAUUAGAUCGUGCGUUCUACGUGGAUAACUGUGGUAAUUCUAGAGCUAAUACAUGCAACUGGCCCUAACUUUACGGAGGGGCGCUUUUAUUAGAUCAAAAUCAAUCAGGUUUCGGCCUGUUUUUGUGAUGACUCUGGAUAACUUUGUGCCGACCGCAUGGCCUUGCGCCGGCGGCGUAUCUUUCAAAUGUCUGCCCUAUCAACUUUCGAUGGUAGGUGACAUGCCUACCAUGGUUGUAACGGGUAACAGAGAAUCAGGGUUCGAUUCCGGAGAGGGAGCCUGAGAAACGGCUGCCACA
rnacentral:rRNA from 1 species